ACCGACUUCCAACUUCUAGUGCUGCCAACUUCUCUCUCCAACCAAGGGUGCCAACUGCUCAAUAUAUCGCCUGCUUACAUACGGUCAUCCUGCUAAGCGUCGUCUGUCCCAUCUCCAUAACUUAUGUUAUCUACGCUUGUUGAGGUAUAAUUUGGACCUUUAAACUCCACAACCUUCUUAACGUCAGAUCGACCACAUCGUUUCACUUUGACCACUUCGAAUGGGUAAAAAAAAGUAUUAGCCACCGGUGACGAACUGCGUCCGCUUUUGCAUCUGUAUGCUAACUUUUCGGUGCAUUUCUUGACUCUCAUUCCCAAAAUCCUCCAUCAAUUUUUGUUUCAAGAGCUUAGUUACCAUGUCUGUAAUUUUGGUCAGCAUCUUGUUACCAAAAAUCAGGUCGAAUGCGGCUCUUUGUGUUGUAGAAUAAACAUGUGACUUUAUUGCGUUUUGGACUUCGGCAACGAAAAUAUACGAUUCAGUUGUAUUGUCUGUAGAAAGUUUUCUAAUGAUGGACAGGAUAACUCGCUUGACUCGCUUUAUCUGGCAGUUUCUUCUGAAUCUGAAUCGUAUUUGGCUUCAUGAAAAGUGCCUGAGGUGAAAGCUCUAUCUGUCACGAUCCUAGCAGGAAAUCCAAAAAUGUUUGACAAUUUAUCCAGAUUUUUUAUACCUCCAUCGGCUCCUAAAGUUUUUGUAAAGAACAACGACACAAAAAUUUCAAAAAUACUUUAACCAUUGCAAAAAUGUAUUUUUAAAGUUUUGCUUUAGAAUCCAUUGGGACUAGAUGAUCCAGAUGUAGCGUCUGUAAGGGUUGACCUCCUGUGUCCAUCCAAUUCAGCCGCAUGUUACACAAGUAUGCUGCUGGCUGUAGAUAUGUCGUUCUAAAACGCUAUCAGAGGUCUCUUUACUCCACAAAAAUAAUGGAUAAACAUAUUCUCCAAAUCGCUGAAACAACGAUGCGCUAAGUUCAUAAUUUGAAGCGUCUGUGUGCAGUUCCGUGGGAGCAUUCUGUGAAUAGAUUUUAAGAACUGGUUCUUGGCAAAGGCUGAUUAGAUGCGUUCAACUCCUCGGUGUUCAUCUUUAAUACAUCAAUUUAAAACGGAAUACAAAAGUACACGGCUUUGAUAUUUACCCAUCAUAUCCUGAUGUUCUUAAUGCUAAACUAAAGCUUAGACCAAAUGGAAUCGAGUAUUUUGAGAAUAAAGCGCAAGUUGAGUUACAACAACUCUUAAACCACACAACUUCGCGGAUUCUUGAUAUGCAGUAUGAAACUUUCAAAGCAAAUACCAACUCGAUAGAAUGCCAAUUAAUAUUUAGCUAUGGAUAAGAUGGAUCAACUGGUCAAAGUAUUUAUAAGCAACGUUAUGAGGAAAUCGGUGCUGUAUAUGAUGGAUCGCUGUUUGUUACUACAAUUGUGCCAUUAAAAUUAGUAGACAAUUAACAAAAAAUAAUUUGGAUCAACAGAUCGCCACAAUCUAUACGGUUUUGUCGUCCUUUAAAAAUGGAAUUUAUUAAGGAAACUCGAGAGCUUAUAUUAGCAGAAAAAGAAAACUUGGAUACCCAGACUCGUAAUCUGCACAUAUAUUUGCAUAAAAUAAACAACAUUAAUAUAUUUGUAAAAUAUGUCAAAUAUAAUUGUUUGGUGCCUGUUGGCUGUCUUGGUGAGCAAGCGUCCGAAUCGAGGAACAAAUUAUAUAAGAGCGAUCGGAGAAGACAUGCAAGAAAAUGCAGUUGCCUAGAUACUAUGACCGAUAUUUUUAACAGAGCUCUAGAUACGUCUGAUCCUUUGUUGUCUAGUAUUUAUCUAAAAGAAAGACAAAGGAAAAAUAAAAACAAAAAUAUGCCGCAAGAGGUAAUUUCUCUACUUAAAUCACCAUGCGUUGGAUGAUCAUGGUGAUUGUCAGGACAUCGACGAGGGCGAGGAGGACGAUGAAAGAGAACUUCUACAGAAAGAUCAUGAACUUGAUGUAAUAGCCUCAGACGAAGUUUUUUUUUUAAAUUAAUAAAUAAUAAGUUUAGUUUUUUUGACAAAAUGAUUUGGACCAUCAUAUACAUC